rnacentral:rRNA from 1 species
GUCGAACGAUGAAGCCCUUCGGGGUGGAUUAGUGGCGAACGGGUGAGUAACACGUGGGCAAUCUGCCCUGCACUCUGGGACAAGCCCUGGAAACGGGGUCUAAUACCGGAUACUGACCACUGAGGGCAUCCUCGGUGGUCGAAAGCUCCGGCGGUGCAGGAUGAGCCCGCGGCCUAUCAGCUUGUUGGUGAGGUAGUGGCUCACCAAGGCGACGACGGGUAGCCGGCCUGAGAGGGCGACCGGCCACACUGGGACUGAGACACGGCCCAGACUCCUACGGGAGGCAGCAGUGGGGAAUAUUGCACAAUGGGCGAAAGCCUGAUGCAGCGACGCCGCGUGAGGGAUGACGGCCUUCGGGUUGUAAACCUCUUUCAGCAGGGAAGAAGCGAAAGUGACGGUACCUGCAGAAGAAGCGCCGGCUAACUACGUGCCAGCAGCCGCGGUAAUACGUAGGGCGCGAGCGUUGUCCGGAAUUAUUGGGCGUAAAGAGCUCGUAGGCGGCUUGUCGCGUCGGUUGUGAAAGCCCGGGGCUUAACCCCGGGUCUGCAGUCGAUACGGGCAGGCUAGAGUUCGGUAGGGGAGAUCGGAAUUCCUGGUGUAGCGGUGAAAUGCGCAGAUAUCAG